rnacentral:rRNA from 1 species
GAUGAACGCUGGCGGAGUGCCUAAUACAUGCAAGUCGAGCGGCAGCACGAGUAGUUUACUACUUGGUGGCGAGCGGCGGACGGCUGAGUAACGCGUGGGAACAUGCCCCAAAGUGAGGGAUAAGCUAUGGAAACAGAGUCUAAUACCGCAUAAGAACUUCGGAUUAAAGUAUUUAUACGCUUUGGGAGUGGCCCGCGUCCGAUUAGGUUGUUGGUGAGGUAAAGGCUCACCAAGCCUACGAUCGGUAGCUGGUCUGAGAGGAUGAUCAGCCAGACUGGGACUGAGACACGGCCCAGACUCCUACGGGAGGCAGCAGUAAGGAAUCUUCCACAAUGGGGGCAACCCUGAUGGAGCAACUCCGCGUGCAGGACGAAGGCCUUCGGGUCGUAAACUGCUUUUAUAAGUGAAGAAUAUGACGGUAACUUAUGAAUAAGGAUCGGCUAACUACGUGCCAGCCGCCGCGGUAA